AUGGUGUACCGGUGCUGCCUCCAAGAGAAGAUGUGCCGGACGAACAGCGCUUUAUUCUUGUUGAUCUCACAAACUAUGCCGGCGAUACCAAUCGAUGUGGUGAGCGCUUACAUGGUGGGUUAUGCUACAGGUGGUAUAUCCUACCAAAAUCAAAAACCAAAACCAAAACCAAACUUGCAUCCCAGGACCUUCAGUGAGAAUGCCUGGACCUUGCCCUCCUACUGAUG
rnacentral:lncRNA from 1 species